GGAGAGAUGGCCGAGAGGCUGAAGGCGGUUGACUCGAAAUCAACUCUGGGGGUAACUCCAGCGGGGGUUCAAAUCCCUCUCUCUCCGCCA
rnacentral:tRNA from 2 species